rnacentral:rRNA from 1 species
CAUUACCGAACUGUCAACACGAGUUGUUGCUGGUCCUCAAACGGGGACAUGUGCACGCUCUGUUUACACAUCCACUCACACCUGUGCACCCUCCAUAGUUCUGCAGCCUGGGGGCUCUGUCUCCCUGCCGUGGUUCUAUGUAUUUACACACACACACACACUGUAGUAAAGUCUCAUGGAAUGCAUACCGCGUUUAACGCAAUAUAAUACAACUUUCAGCAACGGAUCUCUUGGCUCUCGCAUCGAUGAAGAACGCAGCGAAAUGCGAUAAGUAAUGUGAAUUGCAGAAUUCAGUGAAUCAUCGAAUCUUUGAACGCACCUUGCGCCCUUUGGCUAUUCCGAAGGGCAUGCCUGUUUGAGUAUCAUGAACACCUCAACUCUCAUGGCUUUGCCACGAUGAGCUUGGACUUUGGGGGUCUUGCUGGCCUGUGGGUCGGCUCCUCUCAAAUGAAUUAGCUUGCCAGUGUUUGGUGGCAUCACGGGUGUGAUAACUAUCUACGCUUGUGGUUUUCCACCAGGUAACCUUCAGUGAUGAAGGUUCGCUGGGGCUCAUAAACGUCUCUCCUCAGCGAGGACAGCUCUUUGAACGUUUG